GGCAACGUAGCUCAGUGGUAGUAGCGAUGCCCUCAUAAAGCAUAGGUCGUUGGUUCGAUCCCAACCGUUGCCA
rnacentral:tRNA from 1 species